GACGAACGCUGGCGGCGUGCUUAACACAUGCAAGUCGAACGGAAAGGCCCUGCUUUUGUGGGGUGCUCGAGUGGCGAACGGGUGAGUAACACGUGAGUAACCUGCCCUUGACUUUGGGAUAACUUCAGGAAACUGGGGCUAAUACCGGAUAGGAGCUCCUGCUGCAUGGUGGGGGUUGGAAAGUUUCGGCGGUUGGGGAUGGACUCGCGGCUUAUCAGCUUGUUGGUGGGGUAGUGGCUUACCAAGGCUUUGACGGGUAGCCGGCCUGAGAGGGUGACCGGCCACAUUGGGACUGAGAUACGGCCCAGACUCCUACGGGAGGCAGCAGUGGGGAAUAUUGCACAAUGGGCGGAAGCCUGAUGCAGCAACGCCGCGUGCGGGAUGACGGCCUUCGGGUUGUAACCCGCUUUCGCCUGUGACGAAGCGUGAGUGACGGUAAUGGGUAAAGAAGCACUGGCUAACUACGUG
rnacentral:rRNA from 1 species